rnacentral:lncRNA from 1 species
CAAUUUUUUGAUGGACUUGGCAUUCUUUAAACUGAACCUUGACUCAGGUUUUGAUCAUGUGAAUUUAUCCAGAGGUGGAUUGUGAGUAAAGAGAAUGGAUAGUAACAGACAACUAGCAAUCAGCUACAAAUCUCAACAGAGCCAGAGGCUUUACCAGCACUCACUUGCCUGUUAAUAUCAGUUGCUUCAGACUUGAAGUGUAAGAAUUGGAGGGAAAGAAAAUGGCAGAUGGUGCAACUGAUCUGCAGAGAAGCUAAUUAACUUGCCCAAAGUUAUGGAGCUAAGGAAUGGCUUUAGAAAGCAAAAGAAAAAUUUUUUAUUAAGAAAUGAAAAGAAAAAAGACGCAGUAUGGACUCAGACUGAUAAACCAUUUGCAUGAGAGAACUAUACACCAUUUGAAAAAGAGCUUUUUUGCAAGGUGUGGUGGCUAACUCCUGUAACCCUGGCAACUCGAAAGGCUGAGGCAGGAGGAUCACUU